UCGUGGUAAUUAGAAAUAUGAUUUGAUGAAGAAUUUGCAUCGUAAUACACUUGGAAGUUUACAAUAGAGAUCGUAAAAAUGAAAAGAAUUAUUUGAAGAAAAUGAAACCAGAAUACGGAACCUGGUCUAACAACUGAAUUCUCAGUCGGAAACGCUUUGAAGACUCCCUGGCAGAGCGGAACGAGAAUCUUUCCGAGUAGUAUUAUUGUUGUGACCCAGGAUGACUCAUACACGUUACGCUGUAUGUAGUUGAUUUUUCUCGAGUGAAUCAACAAGCUAGCGUCGAUGCACCGUGCUAUACGCUUGAGAUCACUUUUCAGCGCAACUGAAAAUGUACGUACAUAUUAUGUGCUUCUAAUAUUUAAUUUUUAUUUCGAACGAUCGUUUGUAAAUUCCAUGAACUGUGUCAAGUUAAUUCAAGUCAUACGUAAUCGAUUUGAAAUUAAAAGGAGCCAAAAAAGAAUAUUAGAAGUAACGUAGCCAGUUGAGCCAAGCCUUGACCUGUCUGGAAAGUCCAUUUGCAUUCACGUUAUAAUUACUGUAUGUGAGACAGCUGUGACAUCCGGAACCGUAUCGAACAAUAACUUCAUUGAAAGCCUUUGAAUUUCUAUUUUAAUCGCCGCUGUUAGAUUACCAUUCAAUUCUAAGUAUUGUGAAACUGAAGAGAAAUUUAAUUUUACCUUUGAAAUCCUAAAUUGCAAGUUUGAAUUUGUAGCUUUUACUACAUAUAAUAGCUUAGAUUAUCAAUAGAUUAUCUAUGAUUCUUUUAAAAAUUGGCAAUACUUAAAAUCUGUUAAAUUAUAAUAAACUAUGCGAUCUAAAUAUCAGAUACAAUUAUGGAAGUUGAAUUAAAUAAAGGAAGUUGAAUUACAUGUAUUGAGAUGUAGCUGAAGGUAAUAGAGAUGAAAAUCAGUUGAUCCAGGAGAUAGCACAGCGGCCCAUAUCCGUGCUUCAUGGAACACCCGAUAGAUCAGCUUACCAAACACGCGUGGCCCACAAAAAGAUAUUCGUUUCCGCCCAGCGCGAUAUCCACGGGAUCACAGGAAGAACAGCUGCGGAGAAGGGAGGAUCCCGAGAGAAAGAAACACGUGGUGCGGUUCUCCGAGUGAAGAGGGGACAUUUGGACGCGGGAUGCGUGGCUUCUUCUCUGUUGGCCGGCAAAUGUAAUUGCUAAGUGGAUCGCGAUGUGAAUUUUGACCGCAUUAAUUUUAGUGCCAAUGCGACUUUCAGACCUGCAACUCCUUUAAUCGGUUCAUCGAUAUUGUCUUCACGCUCCUCGCAAGUAAAACUGCUUGCUGUUAGAGUUGUCCAGAACCUACCUAAAAGGGGAGAAAAAAGUGUAGAUGCGCGGCGGAAAAGUAAGAUAAACAGAAGCAUGUGAAAGAGAGAAAGCAAUGGGGAUUGGGAAAGGGUCAGGGGGCAGCGUCCUGAGGUGAGGGAGCAGAGCCAGGUCAGAGGAAAAUUUGCAUUUCCUGUUCACGAUGAAUAAUGCCGCAUGGAAAACCGUAGUUACCUGGUCGUCGAAUUAAUUCAAUAAUCCUCGAAAUUUCAAUAAAAAGGCUAUUCGUCUCAAAAGCCAUAGAAAAGAAAUCGUGUUCGUGGUCAUCGGAAAUAAUUUCACCAGCUAUUCAUUUAUUUAACACCUUUAUUUUUUAUAUUCUUCUUGUUCAUUAUAUUCUUCAUUUACUUAUUUCUCUUUCUUCUUUAAGGAUAUAAAAUAAUUUCUGGAAGGACCAUCGUAAAUUCAUACUGAACGGAAUUCUUUUUCUGAAACGAGAUGUACAAAGGGAUGUGAACUUGUAACUAUUAUUCUAGAGUUAUUUCAUGGGGUUGCUUCAAAUGGAGGAAGUGGGAGAUGGAAUGUUUAUGAGAAUAGCUGUUUCUGUCCUCGGGGUUGUUGACCAUACAUAUACCUACUUUUGUAGAAGCCUUUUUGUUAGUAGGUGAAUCUCCAGGUACACAGAAGCAACACGUGUCCAUUAACUAAGGGGAAUUUUUCUUUCUUUAUCUCGAAGCUAACGUUUUACGCGUUCCGUGUCUGUUCUUUGUGAUUCGAGGUAAUCCUAAAUAAAAUCUUCAUCUAGGAUGAAUUUAUCAGUAGAUAAAGGGAUUAGGGUUUGUUUGAAGAAAUUUUUAAAUAAUAAUAAUUUUAAUACAAAUAUUGAAA
rnacentral:lncRNA from 1 species